ACGCUCGACACCUACGGGGGCAGCAGUGGGGAAUAUUGCACAAUGGGGGAAACCCUGAUGUAGCGACGCCGCGUGGAGGAAGAAGGUCUUCGGAUUGUAAACUCCUGUUGUUGGGGAAAAAGAGGAUGGUACCCAACAAGGAAGUGACGGCUAACUACGUGCCAGCAGCCGCCGGUAAUCUGAGCGGGCUGGCAAGGC
rnacentral:rRNA from 1 species